CAUGGCAUUGGAGCUGUAGCUGAUGACUUACCUCUGAUUCUCAAGUGUGACACACAGAGAGAUGACUUUGAAUGGAUUUGGAUUUUGAAUCUCUUUAAUGCUCUGUGAUGCCUCCUUCAAAAGGGCCAAACCUCCUGUUCCUUCUCAGUUUCAGCUAGUGGGAGAGCAGAUAACACCAAUGUCUCUCUCCCCAUGAAGAUGCUCCAGAUUUACAGACCUGUGCCUUCAUGAACACUUAAGAGAUAUGAGAGACUCCUGCACUCCACUCAUAUCCCAAAGAAGCUUCUUUUGUGGAGUCCCUCAACUAGGGGAGCCGUUUGGCACCCCAAAUCCAGUUGGAUGAUCAUGACUACCUAACAGGUGAGUCUGCUCAAAAGCCUGUGUGUGGGCCGGCCAGUGGUGGCACAUGCCUUUAAUCCCAGCACUCGGCAGGCAGAGGCAGGCAGAUCUCUGUGAGUUCGAG